rnacentral:lncRNA from 1 species
CCUACUCCGGUGAGAAAAGCUCUGACAGAAAAAGCUUGAGUUAUCAACAAGCCUCUCCCCCAAGUAAGACACAACCAGCAGACCCCAGACGUAAUGCUGCUGGUCUCUUCCUGAGUUCCACAGAUCAGCUCUUCUGAAGGGUAAUAAACUAGUUCAGCAUAUUGAGAAACUUAGGGGAAAACUGAAGUAAUGCGAGACCUUAGGGGCUUUUGCUGUCGUUGUUGAAAGGGCCAGCACCUUCAUGACUGAUACGUGGGAAAGAGGACAACCUUACAUCCUUAGCAAAGAACAUCCUUAGCAAAGAAAGCAUGGGGGAUACCAGUUACCCUUCCCGGCUUACAUCCUGUGUGGGCUUGGCAGACAUCAGCUCCCGAGCACCUAGAAGGCACUUCCUUCUCCAGAGGAGCUUCAUGGAAACAAGGACUCUGUUGCAACUGGCUGAGGUUGGAACUAAUUCCUCCUCUGUCUGCGUUACAAAAUAAGUGAAGACUAACCAGCCCGGGCAGGUUUUUUUGUAUCCUUGGAUUGCUCUCUGCCUCUUUUCAAGAGCUUUUGCUGUAAAAUAACCAGACUACAUCUAAAUUUAGCCAUGUGAUAUGGCACAAACAGGCUUUCAUGCCUGCUGUGUCAUCAAGGGGAUUUCAGGAUUUUCUAAUUGGUCUGCCUCGGUGCAUCUGAUGCAAUCGCCCAUCAUCAGUUUGUGCUCAGGAGUCUGGGUGGGAAGUGAAAGUACAGACAAGCCUGCCUAGGCCAUCUCUGCCUUGCAAGAGCUUGCCGCUAGCUGUGUGUGGCUCUGAGACCCAGAUUCAGGCCAAUUCAAAAUGAAAACCUUCAAAUGAGUGCUCCGAAAGUAAAACAAAAACUGAAUCUACUUGCUACAUCUUGAUGAGGCCCAUAAGGUAGCAAAGGUUUGGGGGUACAAGGUCAAGCUGAAGGGUUAAGGCCUGAAAGGGGUUUGCCCCUCGGAUAAACUAAACAUCCUUUGCCAGUGGCAUGCUGUGGAAAGGCGGCCCUGAGGAAAGGCUAGUGACCCAUGGGGGAUCCAAAUUUCCACGGCUGGAUGGCAUCUCUUCCAGGCCUUUCCCAUGGAGGCAAAGACUCCAGACUGAACUUGAAGAGUUCUAGGCAAUCCUCUCAGAGUUAGGACUUUGAAGAUCAAAUGAGAAUGAUAGGGAUUUGGAAAAACUAGUACUUGGUCAGUAUUUAUGCUUAUGGCUCUUUACCAGAAAGGAAAAAAAUAAUUGCUCUACUAUCCUCUAAGUUAUUUUUAUCACUUAAAUGAAAAAGAACUAGCUGAGGUUAUUUGGCAUAUCACAAUGUUUUUCUUAUUUUUUUUUCUGAUUAUCAAUUCAUGCUCGCUGAAAAA